rnacentral:rRNA from 1 species
UUUUGGACAAUGGGCGCAAGCCUGAUCCAGCCAUUCCGCGUGAGUUAAGAAGGCCUUCGGGUUGUAAAGCUCUUUCGCACCCCCCAGAAAACUUACUCUCUAAUAAAGAGUGAGGUUGACGGUACCUUGAUAAGAAGCACCGGCUAACUACGUGCCAGCAGCCGCGGUAAUACGUAGGGUGCGAGCGUUAAUCGGAAUUACUGGGCGUAAAGCGUGCGCAGGCGGUUUUGUAAGUCAGAUGUGAAAUCCCCGAGCUCAACUUGGGAACUGCGUUUGAAACUACAAGACUAGAAUAUGUCAGAGGGGGGUAGAAUUCCACGUGUAGCAGUGAAAUGCGUAGAGAUGUGGAGGAAUACCAAUGGCGAAGGCAGCCCCCUGGGAUAAUACUGACGCUCAUGCACGAAG